rnacentral:rRNA from 1 species
CAAACCAAAGCUGGCGACCGGCGCACGGGUGAGUAACACGUAUCCAACCUGCCUCAUACUCGGGGAUAGCCUUUCGAAAGAAAGAUUAAUAUCCGAUAGCAUAUAUUUCCCGCAUGGGUUUAUAUUAAAGAAAUUCGGUAUGAGAUGGGGAUGCGUUCCAUUAGUUUGUUGGGGGGGUAACGGCCCACCAAGACUACGAUGGAUAGGGGUUCUGAGAGGAAGGUCCCCCACAUUGGAACUGAGACACGGUCCAA